UACGGAAGGUGCGAGCGUUAAUCGGAAUUACUGGGCGUAAAGCGCACGUAGGUGGUUUUAUAAGUCGGAUGUGAAAGCCCCGGGCUUAACCUGGGAAUUGCAUCCGAGACUGUCUGACUAGAGUAUGCUAGAGGGAAGUGGAAUUCCAGGUGUAGCGGUGAAAUGCGUAGAUAUCUGGAGGAACACCAAUGGCGAAGGCAACUUCCUGGGGCAAUACUGACACUGAUGUGCGAAAGCGUGGGGAGCAAACAGG
rnacentral:rRNA from 1 species